rnacentral:rRNA from 1 species
GUUAAGCGACUAAGCGUACACGGUGGAUGCCCUGGCAGUCAGAGGCGAUGAAGGACGUGCUAAUCUGCGAUAAGCGUCGGUAAGGUGAUAUGAACCGUUAUAACCGGCGAUUUCCGAAUGGGGAAACCCAGUGUGAUUCGUCACACUAUCAUUAACUGAAUCCAUAGGUUAAUGAGGCGAACCGGGGGAACUGAAACAUCUAAGUACCCCGAGGAAAAGAAAUCAACCGAGAUUCCCCCAGUAGCGGCGAGCGAACGGGGAGCAGCCCAGAGCCUGAAUCAGUGUGUGUGUUAGUGGAAGCGUCUGGAAAGGCGUGCGAUACAGGGUGACAGCCCCGUACACAAAAAUGCACAUGCUGUGAGCUCGAUGAGUAGGGCGGGACACGUGGUAUCCUGUCUGAAUAUGGGGGGACCAUCCUCCAAGGCUAAAUACUCCUGACUGACCGAUAGUGAACCAGUACCGUGAGGGAAAGGCGAAAAGAACCCCGGCGAGGGGAGUGAAAAAGAACCUGAAACCGUGUACGUACAAGCAGUGGGAGCACGCUUAGGCGUGUGACUGCGUACCUUUUGUAUAAUGGGUCAGCGACUUAUAUUCUGUAGCAAGGUUAACCGAAUAGGGGAGCCGAAGGGAAACCGAGUCUUAACUGGGCGUUAAGUUGCAGGGUAUAGACCCGAAACCCGGUGAUCUAGCCAUGGGCAGGUUGAAGGUUGGGUAACACUAACUGGAGGACCGAACCGACUAAUGUUGAAAAAUUAGCGGAUGACUUGUGGCUGGGGGUGAAAGGCCAAUCAAACCGGGAGAUAGCUGGUUCUCCCCGAAAGCUAUUUAGGUAGCGCCUCGUGAAUUCAUCUCCGGGGGUAGAGCACUGUUUCGGCAAGGGGGUCAUCCCGACUUACCAACCCGAUGCAAACUGCGAAUACCGGAGAAUGUUAUCACGGGAGACACACGGCGGGUGCUAACGUCCGUCGUGAAGAGGGAAACAACCCAGACCGCCAGCUAAGGUCCCAAAGUCAUGGUUAAGUGGGAAACGAUGUGGGAAGGCCCAGACAGCCAGGAUGUUGGCUUAGAAGCAGCCAUCAUUUAAAGAAAGCGUAAUAGCUCACUGGUCGAGUCGGCCUGCGCGGAAGAUGUAACGGGGCUAAACCAUGCACCGAAGCUGCGGCAGCGACACUGUGUGUUGUUGGGUAGGGGAGCGUUCUGUAAGCCUGCGAAGGUGUGCUGUGAGGCAUGCUGGAGGUAUCAGAAGUGCGAAUGCUGACAUAAGUAACGAUAAAGCGGGUGAAAAGCCCGCUCGCCGGAAGACCAAGGGUUCCUGUCCAACGUUAAUCGGGGCAGGGUGAGUCGACCCCUAAGGCGAGGCCGAAAGGCGUAGUCGAUGGGAAACAGGUUAAUAUUCCUGUACUUGGUGUUACUGCGAAGGGGGGACGGAGAAGGCUAUGUUGGCCGGGCGACGGUUGUCCCGGUUUAAGCGUGUAGGCUGGUUUUCCAGGCAAAUCCGGAAAAUCAAGGCUGAGGCGUGAUGACGAGGCACUACGGUGCUGAAGCAACAAAUGCCCUGCUUCCAGGAAAAGCCUCUAAGCAUCAGGUAACAUCAAAUCGUACCCCAAACCGACACAGGUGGUCUGGUAGAGAAUACCAAGGCGCUUGAGAGAACUCGGGUGAAGGAACUAGGCAAAAUGGUGCCGUAACUUCGGGAGAAGGCACGCUGAUAUGUAGGUGAAGUCCCUCGCGGAUGGAGCUGAAAUCAGUCGAAGAUACCAGCUGGCUGCAACUGUUUAUUAAAAACACAGCACUGUGCAAACACGAAAGUGGACGUAUACGGUGUGACGCCUGCCCGGUGCCGGAAGGUUAAUUGAUGGGGUCAGCGCAAGCGAAGCUCUUGAUCGAAGCCCCGGUAAACGGCGGCCGUAACUAUAACGGUCCUAAGGUAGCGAAAUUCCUUGUCGGGUAAGUUCCGACCUGCACGAAUGGCGUAAUGAUGGCCAGGCUGUCUCCACCCGAGACUCAGUGAAAUUGAACUCGCUGUGAAGAUGCAGUGUACCCGCGGCAAGACGGAAAGACCCCGUGAACCUUUACUAUAGCUUGACACUGAACAUUGAGCCUUGAUGUGUAGGAUAGGUGGGAGGCUUUGAAGUGUGGACGCCAGUCUGCAUGGAGCCGACCUUGAAAUACCACCCUUUAAUGUUUGAUGUUCUAACGUUGACCCGUGAUCCGGGUUGCGGACAGUGUCUGGUGGGUAGUUUGACUGGGGCGGUCUCCUCCUAAAGAGUAACGGAGGAGCACGAAGGUUGGCUAAUCCUGGUCGGACAUCAGGAGGUUAGUGCAAUGGCAUAAGCCAGCUUGACUGCGAGCGUGACGGCGCGAGCAGGUGCGAAAGCAGGUCAUAGUGAUCCGGUGGUUCUGAAUGGAAGGGCCAUCGCUCAACGGAUAAAAGGUACUCCGGGGAUAACAGGCUGAUACCGCCCAAGAGUUCAUAUCGACGGCGGUGUUUGGCACCUCGAUGUCGGCUCAUCACAUCCUGGGGCUGAAGUAGGUCCCAAGGGUAUGGCUGUUCGCCAUUUAAAGUGGUACGCGAGCUGGGUUUAGAACGUCGUGAGACAGUUCGGUCCCUAUCUGCCGUGGGCGCUGGAGAACUGAGGGGGGCUGCUCCUAGUACGAGAGGACCGGAGUGGACGCAUCACUGGUGUUCGGGUUGUCAUGCCAAUGGCACUGCCCGGUAGCUAAAUGCGGAAGAGAUAAGUGCUGAAAGCAUCUAAGCACGAAACUUGCCCCGAGAUGAGUUCUCCCUGACUCCUUGAGAGUCCUGAAGGAACGUUGAAGACGACGACGUUGAUAGGCCGGGUGUGUAAGCGCAGCGAUGCGUUGAGCUAACCGGUACUAAUGAACCGUGAGGCUUAACCUUACAACGCCGAAGGUGUUU